AUUGAACGCUGGCGGCAGGCCUAACACAUGCAAGUCGAGCGCGCGGCGCACGGGUGAGUAAUAUCUGGGAAACUGCCUGAUGGAGGGGGAUAACUACUGGAAACGGUAGCUCAUAUCCCAUACCAUCAGAUGUGCCCAGAUGGGAUUAGCGUGUGGGUGGGGUAACGGCUCACCUCGGCGACGAUCCCUAGAUGGUCUGAGAGGAUGAGCCGCCACACUGGAACUGAGACACGGUCCAGACUCCUACGGGAGGCAGCAGUGGGGAAUAUUGCACAAUGGGCGCAAGCCUGAUGCAGCCAUGCCGCGUGUGUGAAGAAGGCCUUCGGGUUGUAAAGCACUUUCAGCGGGGAGGCGUUACCCGCAGAAGAAGCACCGGCUAACUCCGUGCCAGCAGCCGCGGUAAUUC
rnacentral:rRNA from 1 species